rnacentral:rRNA from 1 species
UACGUAGGGUGCGAGCGUUGUUCGGAAUUACUGGGCGUAAAGCGCACGUAGGCGGCUUUGCAAGUUAGAGGUGAAAGCCCGGGGCUCAACCCCGGAAUUGCCUUUAAAACUGCAUCGCUAGAAUUGUGGAGAGGUAAGUGGAAUUCCGAGUGUAGAGGUGAAAUUCGUAGAUAUUCGGAAGAACACCAGUGGCGAAGGCGACUUACUGGACACAUAUUGACGCUGAGGUGCGAAAGCGUGGGGAGCAAACAGG